rnacentral:lncRNA from 1 species
UAAUGAAACCAUGGUAAACGUGGAAAAUGGGUAUUUCUCUACUUUUUUACUAUAAUAAUUAAACAUGUAAAAAAAUUUAGAGGCAUAUCUACCCUUUUCAGUCUAUAUGGUAUUAAUUCAGUGAAAAGACUCGGUUAGCAUGGAAAGAUCAUAAAAUUCUGUCAUAAAGUUUUCUUUUGAAGUUGUUGCAUUCCUCACAAUAAUAGUAGUAGAUAAAGCAGAAAAUGACUCUUCAGUCAAUUCGGGUUUGGUCGAGUAAAGUAGAAAAUGAAAAUAUAGUAUCAGAACGAGACCUCCUAUAACCAAUAAUUGUUCUUUUUCCCUCUGGUCUACAAUCACUAAUUGUAAAAUAUGAAGUUAAGAAACGAAAGGCUUGUAAUUUGUUUGUAUUGUUUUCUGAUUUGCUGAAAUGCAAUAUUCCAAAGGAAACGAAGUACAGAACUGCCUUUACAUCUUGUUCUCGACAGAAAUUUACAAGGAUUUAACAACUAGGUAGCUAGAAGAAUGCCUGCGCUCUUUCCUCUACGUAAUUUCAUUAGCCCUAGGAGUAUGAUACUACGGAGUAUAGAGAUCACUAGAAAUAUGGAAAUUAAUUGAAAAAAAAAACCGAAACUCUGUUUUUCCUAAACUGUUUCUUUUCCACUUAGCUGUAUCAAUCCUCGUAAAUAUUUCCAUCAUCUACAAACAUAUGAACGCGACAAAGGGCCAUUACGUCUGACGAGGAGCCCACUCAGGGCUGGAAAGAGAAGAUUGAGAAGAGAAUUUGGGAGCUGCUCCAAUGGACAAGGAGCAAUUACUCCAAGCCUGCCUUUUGGGGAAUGAUAUAUUCCUUGUACGGGAACAGGCGGAGGAACAAACACCUUGUAAGUUAUGCAGAGCACAGCCGCAAUUCCGAUGGUAUGGCCUCCGCUCUAUCUCUAUUUCGUAAAUUGCUAGGCUUCCUUCAACGACACAUCGGAGCAUCGUCUUAGCUGCUCCAAUGGCCAUUUUCUCUCUCUCUCUCUCCCUCUAUCUCCUUCCCUCUUAAGUAAGGGUCUCUUCUCUUGUCUCUCUUUAAGUGCUUAUGUGUGAACGUGUUAAAGAGUGUUGCAUGCUUUUACAAGUGUUUAUAUAGAGCAAGGAAUAGGAGUUAGGUGGGCGUCAAAGAUGGAAUAUUAUGUAGAGAGAACAAUUUUGUUUUAGUUCUCCACGUUGAGUUCUAGAUGACUUUGUUCUUGAAAAAUUGGUUCUUGCUGCGGUAGUUUUCUAACUAAGACAAUCGUUCUUGUCAAGGGAAGAUUCAAUCCCCAUUGGAAAACAAAUUUUGGCGACAAAAAAGAGACGGAAGAUACUGGAGUGGUAGGGAAUCUAUGAGGACUUUGGAGAAAUCAGUGGCUUGGCUUAAUCUGCUUGGUUAAGUUUGCAAUGGCUUGUUUUUGGAAUUUUUAGUAGAAGUAGGGGAGGUUUUCUCAUUGUUUUUGCCGAAAGACACCCUUUUUUGACUAGCUAAUUGUUUGAAACUCUGAUGGAUCUUUUAACGGUCUCAAAUUUUCUGUUUACGACGUGGCGGUAAUUUCCUAUGCGACAAAGUAUCCAAUUUUCUCGACUUGAGCUAUAUUUAGCUACCAAUAAAAGCCAAAUAGAAUCGGUCUAAUUUGGCUUCUGUUUUCUGACUGUUACCUUUGCCCUUUAGAUCUCAUCCUCCAUUUCCAUGGUACGAGCAACCGGUAUGAGGAAACUAGUCUAACAUACGACCACUAAUUAAUUAUCUUUUCUUUAGCGGGGAGGGGUUGUGGAAACUUUUAAGUAUUAUAACAAUUCUCCAAUGUGUUCAUUUAAGUACAUACUAGUUACUACUUGUCACAAGUAAGGAUAAGCAAUUGGACAAUUUGAUCGAUUCAUUGGUUUGAUCCAUCAUGUUUAAAGAUCAAAUAAAUUAAAUAUUUUUAAAAAUUAGAUCAAACUUGGUCAAAUAUAUAAAAAAAAUAAAUCGAUCAAAUAUUGAAUUGAUUCGAUCGAUUCGAUUUUAGACCAAAAUGAUUAAAAUUUUAUAUUUUUUAUAAAUUAUAAUAUUAAAAUUUAUAAAUUUCAUUCAUUAUUAUAAAACAUAGAAUGAAAAAAUAUAUUUAUAAUAAUUUUAAAAUAAUAUAUAUAAAAUAGUAUUAAUAUAUAAAAUUAGUUUGGUCUUUUGGUUGAUUUGGUCUAAAAAUUUUAAAAUUAAGAAUCGAUCAAAUAAAUCAAUUAAAUCAAAUUUUUUGGACCAAUAAACCCAAUAAACCAAUUAGAUCAAAUUAUUGUACUCAUAUUACAUUUGAUUCGAUUAAAUCAUUAAUCUGAUCCAAUUUUACUCACCUCUAAUUCUAAGUUACCUACUUGCUUCCACACCUACCAUUGAUCCUUUGCUUGGUUUUUUUUUUUUUAAUAGCAUUUUUUUUUAUAUUUUGCCUGGUUUGAUUCAGGCAAAACAAGUGCUUCUGGUUCCCUUGCUUGUGCCAGCUGAUCUGAUACUAUUUUCCUAAUUCAUAAUAUUUUAAUUGAUUUAAAAUUCACCUUUUUUUUCUUUUUCUUUUUUCUCUCUCCAAUCCAUUCAACUAUUCAUGAGAUUAUAAGAGGAAAUUUAUUAAAGAAAAUUGUGAAAAAUAACCCUCUUUAUAAGUCCAAUUUAAAAAUAUUCUUUAUUAUAAAUUUAAUUAUUUUUAGUUAAUUUUUGACAUAACUUGACAAUAAUACCUUUUAAAUAAUUUCAAAUAAAUUAAAAUGGUUUUGGUUUUUUUUAUUCCACCAUCCAGACAAAAAUUUCAAAAUUGAAUCAUGAUUUCUCUCUCUUACCAAAUACUAUUUAUCUUAUCAUCUAGUUCUUUCUCGCCAUCCCAAAGAGUAGAGAUGACAUCAAGAUAUAUAUUUUAGAUUCUUAGAUUUAUUGGUUUAUUCAUAGAACCUCAAAGUUGAUGUGUUGAAAUUGAUUAGAUAUAUUUGUAAAUUAAAACACUGUAUAACUUUGAUAACUUAAACUUGACUCCGAGCAGGCAAAUCAAUUAAUUAUUAGGUUUUGCAUUACUGAUUUUUAAGUAUUGUGUCACUGAUUUUAGGUAUUGCGAGACUAAUUUUAAGAUAUUAUGUGACUUAAUCAUUACGUCUCUAGUUUUUGGGCAUUGUGUGUCUAAUUUUUAAAUAUUGCAUAACUGAUUUUUAGGCAAUGCCUAAGUCACACAAUGCCUUACUAACUAGUCACACAAUUUCAUAUCAACCAAUCAUGCAAUACCUAAAAAUCAGUUAUACAAUACUUAAAAAUCAAUCAUGCAAUGCCUAAAAACCACUAAAACUACUGAAUUUUAUUUAAUAAAAUCAACAAUUUCAAAUAAUACACCAUAUUCUAUUUAACAACAUAAUCAACGAAUAUGCCUACUUAACGAAGAAUGCUCAAAAUGUUCAAAAUACUCAAAAAUUUUUCAUCAUGUAUCAAAAACCACUCUAAAAUGCUUAAAACACUCAAAGGUUUUUGUUCGUAUAUAAAAAAUUACUCAAAAAUACUCAAAAUGCUUAAAAAUUUUUCUUUCUGGCAAUAAACACUCCAGAGAUGAAUAGUCUGGCAAAGAAAGCUCAAAGGAUAUGAGUCGGUUUGAGAUGCGAAUUUAAACAUAUGUGUCGGUUUCAUUAAAGGUAAUUUUGUCCAAAAUUUAUUUUUUUAACUAAAACUAGUUAAAAUUAUAAAAAAGAUUAUUUUUAAAAACACCUUAUAUAUGAAAGGUAUUUUUGAAAAGAACUCAAUUUAUGAUUUUUUAGUCUUUUUCAUUUCCCUACUCUGUACCGAACCCAUAGUUCUGAAAUGAUAGAGAAUAGUAUUUUCUAACCCACCUCAAUCAGCAAGUGCUAAUUAAUUCUUAAGAUUACAAGCUAUCACAUUCGAAUUUUGAAUAAUUGGACCAUGCAAACUCUGAUAUAAAUAGUCAACCAUCAUAAUUAAAAACUUAAACCCUUAUAAUUAUACCAAUAUGACAUCUCCUAAGACCACUAAAUGAAGGGCAUUAGAAGCCAAUCAAGCCUUGUUCUAAUAAUCAAAUUAACCACAACUGCUGUUUAUAUGCUUAUAUAUGUUACUCCUAAAUGCCCUCGCUAUAGUAGUUCUCUUCUCUGCUGAUAAUGUCUUUACACUUUGCAUACAACAUUUUUGUACGUCUUUCCGCACACGCACAACGACAAUACUAAGAAAGAUGUCAACCACGUCACAAGAUUUUGAAUGGUCUUUUCUUUUAUUCUUUCAUUAUGCAACUUUGGCAAUUAUUCCAUGGAAAGAGAUAAGAACAAUGGCUGACGACCAGAGUGAUUUUCUUUCUUAGUGUUGCAAACAAAGAUCAAUAUUAUUGAACCUCUUUAUGUGAUAUUCAUCCCACUUGGAAUGUUAAUGUGAUUACGCAAGCCAACCGUACAUCAUGAGAAUUUAAAUAAUUUGCAAUUCUGCCAGGCAUUACACUUAGUUUGCAAGUAAGAUUCUAGGAGUAUAUAUAAAGGGAACAAUUGUUUCUGCGAAAGCAACUUCAUGCUUUGAUGAAGUUGUAUCGUAUCAGUCCCCAAGAAAAUGACCGCUAUAGCGACUUUUCUUCCCAAUGACAAAAUUGCAUUUCUUUGAAAAUUGUAUUUACAGUAUUGUAAAAUCACUAUAUUUGUACCAAUAUAAAAAAGUUAUUAAGCAAAUAAAAUAUUGACUAAAUAUAUUAAGAAUUGUUAGAUUUUUUUUUUAAAAAGCAUAUUUAUUAGUCUCGAGAACCAGGAUGUCAUUUUAAAUCUCUUGCUGAAAUAACAAGAAACUUCUCAUGACAUAAAAACAUGGUAUGAGUAUAAAAUAUCUGUACAAUUACAAAAGACAAUUACCGCUUAAAAAGCUAGUGACGGUUUAACUCGAGUUGUUGGAUUAACUACAUAAGAUAUUUAAUUUUGACAACUUUUUAUUGCUCUCAGCCAACUCUAUUUUCCCGAGAGCAAGCUACAUAAUUUGAUGCAAGUGCUAAUUGGUAACGAAAUUAAUUCGACCAGAUAUAUAGAAUGAUCAUAGUUUUCGUUCGACUUCAAAUUUUUCUACGUUUUCGCUCUCUGUUUCUUCCGGUACGUAGAGAAAAUCUUUGAUUCCGUAGCACUUAAAGUCCAACAUAGUUACUUCAAAAAAAAAAAAAAAGAAGUCCAACAUUGUACUCAUAUAGUAUUACUACGUAUGGUCAACAGCUAUUUUUUUAACCUUUUAAUUUCUUUGUUCAACUCGUUAACGAAACUAACCAAUGCAAAAUACGCAGUAGUAGGACAAAAUUAAUGAGAAGUCCAAUCCUCGAUGAUGUUAAGGAUUUCCGGCUCUAAAAUUGGCCGAUGUCUAGUCUUUCUUACAAAGAAAGAAAGCAACUCCCAGCUGUCAUCUUUGACAGAAACCGAGGAAAACAUCCUGUACUUCCCAGACACUACUGGAUCUCACUUUUUGUUCAUGAUUGAAAGUACGUAAACAACCCAGGUUCCCAUUGUGUUCUCCUAACACUAACGCUGCUCUUAGUAGCUCAUUCUGCUUUCUUUAGGCUACAUAUUCUCUUGUAGGCCAGUUAAAUGAUUCUACUGUCUUUACGGUAAGCAGUCUAGAAAAUAGAAAGGAUUCUGGAAGAAAUGUGGAACAUUUUAAUUUCUCUGUCCUUUAACUCGGAAAAAAAGAACCUAAAUUUGAUCCCACUGAGACAAUGCCUAAAAAGUAAGCAUAAUUUGAUUGUAAGAGGGCUGCUCUGUUUCAAAGUUAAUGCUCCAUUCAAGUUGUCCUUCAUUGAGUAUAAAAAGGAGGAAGAGGAAAACAAAUUAAUCAUUUCAGCUUGGUUUAAUGUUAUAGUGGAUGGCACUAUAUCACUAUUGAAAUUAAGAAACAAGAAAGAGUUGGAAACAUAACUUUACAUUGAACUAUGCAGAAUUUACAUGCAUGUAAUUUAGCUAGAAGAACCCUGUACGCUUUUUUCCUUGUAUUGACCUAAGAGACUACAAAUCUAAAGGCAGAAUGAAAAAAAAAAAAAUAAAGAUCUCGAUUUCCUAACCUGUUUUUCUAUACUUUUAACUGUAUUGAGCUUCUGACGUAUUUUGUCAUCUUGGCUAGCUAGUGGAGGGAGGUGUGUGUGUGUGUGUGUGAAGUGUAUAAUUUGUCUGAGGCUUUUGCUGAUUUCCAUGAUCUCUGAAGUGUGUUUAUAUAGAGCAAGUGUUUAGUCUUAGAUGGAUCUAGAGAGAAAAACCUUGCAUUAGGGACUAGUUAUUCCUCGUUGAAUUCUAGAGAAUCAACUUUGUUCUCGAGAAUUCUUGUUGAAGUACUACUUCUGCAACUGUCCAACUAAGACAAACGUGUUUCUCUGGGAGAAAGUUUCAGUUAGUUUCUCAAAGUGAAUCCGAAUAACUAUGCUGCCAAAGAGAAACGGGAAGAGAGAGAGAGAGAGAACCUCUUGGUAACUAGGGAAAGAAGUGACUUGGCUUGGUUGGAUUUGCAAGAAAUUGUUUUGGAACUUGUUGGAUGAAGUUGGGGUUCCCUUAUGGUGUUUUUUUAUCAUAAGUUAAUUCAGUAGCUCAUUAAAAACUAAUUAGAAUUGAUUCUUGAAGCUAGCUUAACGGUCUUUAUUGUUUUUUCAGGAAGCGGGCGAUCUACUCCAAGGAACAACCUCUCCAAUUCUCGUGAUGUGGGUUUUUUUUGCAUUGUCAUUUUUCGUGAAGGGCAAAUCCAAGUUUUCAGUUUCGUUGUUUCUAACAUUUUUUUUCUUUUUUGUACUUUGCCCUCAUAACUUUAUUUUUCUGGUACUUAAUUACCUCAUAACUUUAUAAAGGGAUCUUUGUUAUGGUAGCUAGAGGAACA